rnacentral:misc_RNA from 1 species
AGCAGCCGCGGUAAUUCCAGCUCCAAUAGCGUAUAUUAAAGUUGUUGCAGUUAAAAAGCUCGUAGUUGAAUUUCGGGAUUGACGUGAUGGUCGUGCCUUACGGGGUAUGAACUGUUGCUGUUGAUUUCUCACCUUCUGGAGAAACUUGAUGUCCUUAAUUGGGUGUCUUGCGGAUCCAGGACCUUUACCUUGAAAAAAUUUAGAGUGUUUAAAGCAGGCAUUUUUGCUCGAAUACAUUAGCAUGGAAUAAUAGAAUAGGACGGCAUGGUUCUAUUUUGUUGGUUUCUAGGAUCACCGUAAUGAUUAAUAGGGAUAGUUGGGGGGCAUUAGUAUUCAAUUGUCAGAGGUGAAAUUCUUGGAUUUAUUGAAGACUAACUACUGCGAAAGCAUUUGCCAAGGAUGUUUUCAUUAAUCAAGAACGAAAGUUAGGGGAUCGAAGACGAUCAGAUACCGUCGUAGUCUUAACCAUAAACUAUGCCGACUAGGAAUCAGACGAUGUUAAUUUUUUUCAAUGACUCG